CAAAGAAGGAAGGAGGCAGGCAGAGUGGCCAUCGCUGGCUGCCUUCUACCCACCACAGUUCUCUGCAGACCCUCUGCACACCACAGACCAGCCUUUGCCUGCUUAGUAAUGGAGGUGAUCCAUGAAUGUUCUGACAGGCGGUCUUGCAUCAUAUACUACAGGACUGAACCUAAGCAAAGAGACAUGAGGUACCCCUGGUAGUAGCCAUGGAUAAGGAUGCAAAGAAAUACAAUCCAGAACGUACAUAGGUUGAUGGAUAUUGUUGAAGAAGGAAGUCUCUUGAGCAAGCAAACCAAACCACGUGCUGUGCUAGAAGGCAAAUUGUUGAUUCAAUGUUUUUUCCUGUUCCAGUUCUUCCUUGACAAUAUUUCAGAGCGCAAUUCUGGCAUCGUCACAAUUGCAGAACAGAUCCAUGAUGGCAUGUAGUAAGGCUGUACAGCAUGCUCCAUCAGCUUAGAGAAAUCUCUAUUAAGCACAGUAGACUUGAGCCAGAAAUCCUACUGCUUAUCAUAUCUGCCACAGGAAAAAAAACCUGGAAUCACACAGUGAAAUUUCUAGUUGAUCUCAAUGCUUUCUCCCCCCCCCUUUUUUUUUUUUUGAGAUUAAGUACUUUGUUCUAGAUUUGUAACAGGUGAAGAGCCUUUUUGGCAUAGUUGCAGCAGCAAGUCAUGAGCUAGGCAAUGAAACAUGAUCACCUAAACUACAACUAAAUAAGUGUUUAAAAAAUAUUGACAGCUGUUUCUUUGGAAUCUCCUGCAGAUGACACAAAACUUAGCAGAUUCCUAGCACUGAGUAGACAAAUGAUGGUUUCUAUUACAUUCCCACACUUCUGGACUUCCUUGAAUUGU